rnacentral:rRNA from 1 species
GACGAACGCUGGCGGCGUGCUUAACACAUGCAAGUCGAACGGAAAGGCCCUGCUUUUGUGGGGUGCUCGAAUGGCGAACGGGUGAGUAACACGUGAGUAACCUGCCCUUGACUUUGGGAUAACUUCAGGAAACUGGGGCUAAUACCGGAUAGGAGCUCCUGCUGCAUGGUGGGGGUUGGAAAGUUUCGGCGGUUGGGGAUGGACUCGCGGCUUAUCAGCUUGUUGGUGGGGUAGUGGCUUACCAAGGCUUUGACGGGUAGCCGGCCUGAGAGGGUGACCGGCGACAUUGGGACUGAGAUACGGCCCAGACUCCUACGGGAGGCAGCAGUGGGGAAUAUUGCACAAUGGGCGGAAGCCUGAUGCAGCAACGCCGCGUGCGGGAUGACGGCCUUCGGGUUGUAAACCGCUUUCGCCUGUGACGAAGCGUGAGUGACGGUAAUGGGUAAAGAAGCACCGGCUAACUACGUG